AUUGAACGCUGGCGGCACGCUUAACACAUGCAAGUCGAACGGCAGCAUGUUUUAGUAGCGAUACUAAAAUGAUGGCGAGUGGCGGACGGGUGAGUAAUGCAUAGGAAUCUGCCUUACAGAGGGGGAUAACGUUAGGAAACUGGCGCUAAAACCGCAUAAUACUCUGAGGAGGAAAGGAGCCUUUCGGGGUUCUGCUGUGAGAGGAGCCUAUGUCAGAUUAGCUAGUUGGUGGGGUAAAGGCCUACCAAGGCGACGAUCUGUAGCUGGUCUGAGAGGA
rnacentral:rRNA from 1 species